rnacentral:rRNA from 1 species
UACGGGGGGGGCAAGCGUUGUUCGGAAUUACUGGGCGUAAAGGGCUCGUAGGUGGCCAACUAAGUCAGACGUGAAAUCCCUCGGCUUAACCGGGGAACUGCGUCUGAUACUGGAUGGCUUGAGUGUGGGAGAGGGAUGCGGAAUUCCAGGUGUAGCGGUGAAAUGCGUAGAUAUCUGGAGGAACACCGAUGGCGAAGGCAGCCUUCUGGGCCAACACUGACGCUCAUGCACGAAAGCGUGGGGAGCAAACAGG